AGGAGACCCCCGAGGGACGGAGGAGACCCCCGAGGGGCGGAGGAGACCCCAAAGUUCCGGGGGAGACCCCCGAGGGGUCGAGGAGACCCCCGAGGGGAGGGGGAGACCCCCGAGGGGCGGAGGAGACCCCCGAGGGGUGGGGGAGACCCCCGAGGGGCAGGGGAGACCCCGAGGGUCCGGGGCACUCACCCGAGUGGGUUUUGGCUGUUCCGGAGGAGUUUUUGGGGGGUUCGGUUCGGGUCCUUACGGACGGGACGGUCCCGGUUCGGGUCCCGGUUCGGGUCCCCUCCGGGCGGGUUCCGGUCCCUUGGCGCGGGACGGGGACGGUUCGGGACGGUUAGGUCUGUCCGGAGCGGUUCGGCUCCUCCCGGUUCGGUUCCCUCAGGCGGGUUCGGGUUCCCUCAGGCGGGUUCGGGCUCCCUCAGGCGGGUUCCGGUUCCCUCAGGCGGGUCCGAGUCCCCUCAGGCAAGUUCGGGACCUUCCGAACAGCUUCGGGUGCACGUUCGGGCCCCCCCGGUGGGGUUCGGGUCUCUCCGGGAGUGUUCGGGUCCCGCUUCGAGUCCAAGUUCGGCUGUUUCCGGAGCGGUUCGGCCCCUCCCGGUUCGGACCCUUCGGGCGCGUUCGGGUCUCUCCGCCGGGCGGUGCCCAGCGGGGCGUGGCCAGCGGGGAGUGACGUCAGGGGGUCCCGGAAUGACGUCACAGCAUCCCCACGAACUGGGGGGGGGGGGUCCCCAAAAGGGGGGGAGGGGCACCCACGUGUGUGGGUGGGGGAGGGGAGGGGGUGACACGAGGGACAAAGGGCGGCGCCCCCGCCCCUCCCCCCGCUCGGUUUUGGGCCGUUUUGGGCUGUUUUGGGAAGUUUUGGGCCGUUACCGGGGGAACGCGACCGCGGCCGCCCCAAAUAUUGCCGUGGUUGCCAUGGGAACGGGGUGGGGGGGGUAGGAGCGGGUGGGGGAGGGGCUCAGGGCGCGGGGGGGGCGCGGGGACCCCCCAAAUUCAGCGGGGGGGGGGGUGGGGAGGGGUCCCUCGCGGCUCAGCACCUGUGGGAGGAGGGGGCUCAGGGGGGCACCCAUGGCACCGGGACCCCCACCCAUAGGGCUGGGACCCCACCCAUGGCACCGGGACCCCCACCCAUAGGGCUGGGACCCCACCCAUAGAUUUUGGACCCCCACCCAUGGCCCUGGGACACCCACCCACAUCCCAGGACCCCCCCACG
rnacentral:lncRNA from 1 species